GAAGGUCUGGGCUGAGGUGUUCUUCUACCUUGCAGAGAACAAUGUCAUGUUUGAAGGCAUCCUCCUCAAGCCCAGCAUGGUUACUCCUGGUGCAGAGUGCAAGGACAGGGCCACACCUGAGCAGGUUGCUGACUACACACUCAAGCUCCUUAGCCGAAGAAUUCCCCCAGCUGUCCCUGGAAUCAUGGUAAGCGACUCAAAACCAAUUUCAAAGAAACCAGACUGAUAUACAUUAACUCCAUUUUUCAACUGCUAAAUCGUUGAAUUUAUUUUGGCUGGUCAGUUUUUAUCCGGUGGGCAAUCUGAAGUGGAGGCGACCUUGAACUUGAACGCAAUGAACCAAUCUCCCAACCCAUGGCACGUAUCGUUUUCAUAUGCAAGAGCACUUCAAAACACUUGCCUGAAGAAGUGGGGAGGCAGACCUGAGAAUUUGAAGGCCGCUCAGGAGGCACUACUUAUCCGAGCAAAGGCCAACUCUCUUGCUCAGCUUGGCAAAUACACAGGUGAAGGGGAGUCUGAGG
rnacentral:lncRNA from 1 species